rnacentral:lncRNA from 1 species
GUUACAGCUGGAACUACAGAACGAUGCUCACCAAGACAAAUUGUUUUUGCCCCACAGGGACCAAGAAGUUUGCUGAUAAGCUACUGAAGGAGUUCACUGACUUCUGCACCAACUGCAAUAACUGGCUGGUUAUGUUAUGAACAAGUUGCCUGAACAAGAUGCACACCAGUGCCCCAUGAAUCCAGGCCACUCGGCCCAAAAGAAUCCAGGCCACUCAAGGGCAGAGGAUUCCUGUCAGGCUCUAAGGAUCAGGUUAUCAGUUUGCCUCUGCUAGUUAGUGGGAGCCCUUGCUUCUUUUUGGCUCUCCCACAAGUAUUCUAUUCUACUCAGGAGAAAGACUUGGGAAGCAGCUGCUGCUGCUACCACCACCCAGAUUCUGUCAUCAAGUGCCCAGAGCAGGUGGGAGGCACAGAUUUUCUGUGGGAGGGCUUCAGUGUCUGGGAAAGGGGGCAGGCAGCCCCCAUGAAUGUCUUUGGAGAAGGAAUGGCUCCUGUCAGCAUCCUUUUUCUCCACUGUCUGUGGAGUAAUAAGAGCAGAAUCUGCUGCUUCAUGUCCAGGAGUGUGCACAGUAUGAAUAGAAUUAAGUGAAAUAAUAUAACAUAGACUCAUACAAACUGUAUAUACCUGUACUUAUUAGAAGCCAAUAAAGCUUCACUUACAGCCUCUGUCCCCAAACUCAUUCCCAACCACAGCAGUCCCACUCUGGGCUGGGCAUCAUUCCAGGUCAAUGCAGUAGAUGCAGAUCAUGAAGAUUUCAGAAUGUACUGACUUUGAGAGUGGCUGUGAGCUGAUAGAGAUUUGAUUUCACAGGCCCUCAAGCAGGAGCAAGGCUUCUUCCAGUCAGGACUAGUGAGCAGAAAGUACAACACACUCGGUAACUUACCAUAGGCUUGUGCCUUCGGAGGUAGAUCUUGCCGAAUGGGUGAGCCCAGUUCUUUAAUGCAGACAUCAUAACAUUCUGAAAAGUGAUUAAGGAAAGCCUCUGUUUAACUCAACUUCGGUUUAGGUCCCACUGUUUCAAUAGAGCAUGACUCAGCAUGAUGCCUCAACAUCAGCACUCUGCACUGAUCUGCUCAGGUGAUGAGGGUCACAGGCCAGAGGGGAGAUGGUUGCAUUUACAAACACUUCUCCCUCUUCCUCUCUUCACCUGGAGUUAAACGCAUGCCCUGUUGAUUUACCUCCUCAGUACCUUGCAAAUCUAUCCACUUCUCCCAGGCCUUGUGUUACCACUCCAAAGUCCAGCCUUCCUUUGCCUCUACUUUCACUUCAGAUCACGUUCACUAGGAAAUUGGAGGCAUAUUUUUAAAAACUACUCCAAUUUUGCCUGCCACUUAUUUAGGAUUCUUUAAUGACAUGAACUUCAAAAAUCUUAGAUUCAGGGCUACAGUUGUAGCUAAGUUCUUGCCCAGCAUGCUUGAGUCCCUGGGUUUGAUCCCUAACUACUGCUAAAAACAAAAACUUAAGAUGCAGCCCACAUGCCCUGUGCAACCGGGUCCUAUGGGCUCUUUCUAUAUCCAUCCUUGCUAUUGUUCAGUCCCUAGAACUUAACAGACUUUACCAACUCAGAUCCUUUGCACACAAAAUUCAUCUGAACUUUUUUUGCAACUCCUAAGAUGCAGCUAUUGAUGCUGCACAUAGAGACUUCAAAGGAGUAGUUUUGUUAAUAUAUAUGAAUAUGGUCUUGGGUCAUGGCUCAGUGGUAGAGCACUGGCCUGGCAUGUGUGAGGCACAGGUUCAAUUCUCAGCACCGCAUAUAAGUAAAUAAAGAUCCUUUGACAACUAAAAAUAUAUAUAUGAAUAUAUAAUGGUUGAUUCCUGGCUUGCAGUCUUUUUACCAUCCCUUCCCUCAGAAAAACCAUUGCUCCUUUCUAAGUUUCAGUCUUCUCAUCUAUAAAAUAGGAAACUCUAUCCUGGGGUAAUUGGAGGAUCCAAAGCAGAUGUAUAUGAAAGGAUAUACUAAUAAGAGAUAGUAACAGUUAUUUGCUCUCUGGUAGCUGUUCUCACAUUCCUGACAGGAGUCUUCACCAUGCUGUCAAGUCAGCCUCCUGAAUGAUAGGGCUGGCACAGACACUGCCUACUAUUCACACCAUAUAACAUGGUCAUUGGUGUUCCUCAGUGUCCAGUGUGUAAGGCCAGUGUUUGCCCUCACUUACUACUUACUGCUCUUCCAGAAAUGACCCAGCUGAACAAGGACCAGAGAGUGAUCUGGGAGAAUAACGGGCAGCUGGUGAGUUAGAAUGCUGGGUCACAUCUCUGUCAGAGCUGGACCCAAACUGAGUGUAGAACUCAGCCUCAGGGAAUGGAUGAUUUGGCUAAACAGUGAUAUGAUUUGAAUGUAUCCCCCCCAGAAUUUUAUGUGUUUGAAACUUAAUCCUUAAACUCAUAUUUGUAGUAUUUGGGAGGUAGGGCCUUAUGAAUGUAAGGAUUAAAUGAGAUCAUAAGGGUGAGGUCCCAAAGAUGGCAUUGGUGACUUUGUAGGAUAUGCAAGUCAGACUCUGGAGAGCAUGCUUGUUCUGUCUUGCCAUGUGGUAAUGCUCUUUGCCCUUUUGUAAUGCAGCAAGAAUGCCCUCACAAAUUGCAUGCCAUGCUCUUGGACAUCUCAGCCUCCAGAAACAGG